rnacentral:rRNA from 1 species
GACGAACGCUGGCGGCGUGCUUAACACAUGCAAGUCGAACGGGCCCGCCCCUGUUUUUGGGGGUGGGUUGAGUGGCGAACGGGUGAGUAUCCCGUGAGUAACCUGCCCCCUGCUCCUGGAUAACUGCUUGAAAGGGCGGCUAAUACGGGGUGUGCCGGCUGGUCCGCAUGGGCCUGGUCGGGAUAGUUUCAUCUUCGGGUGUUUCGGUGGGGGAUGGGCUCGCGGCCUAUCAGCUUGUUGGUGGGGUGAUGGCCCACCCAGGCAGUGACGGGUAGCCGGCCUGAGAGGGUGGGCGGCCACACUGGGAGUGAGACACGGCCCAGCCUCCUGCGGGAGGCAGCAGUGGGGGGUAUUGCACAAUGGGCGGAAGCCUGAUGCAGCGACGUCGCGUGAGGGAUGGAGGCCUUCGGGUUGGGAACCUCUUUCUCCGGUGGUGAAGGCCCUGUCCGUUGCGGCGGGGUUGACGGUAGCCGAGUAUGAAGCGCCGGCUAACUACGUG